GGAUGCGAUCAUACCAACAUUAAUGCACCGAAUCCCAUCAGAACUCCAAAAUUAAGCAUGCUUAGGUGAGAGUAGUAUUAGGAUGGGUGACACCCUAGGAAGUCCUCGUGUUGCACCCC
rnacentral:rRNA from 1 species